UACGUAGGGUGCGAGCGUUAAUCGGAAUUACUGGGCGUAAAGCGUGCGUAGGCGGUUCGUUAAGUUCGUUGUGAAAGCCCCGGGCUCAACCUGGGAACUGCAAUGGAAACUGGCGGGCUUGAGUGUGGCAGAGGGGGGUGGAAUUCCGCGUGUAGCAGUGAAAUGCAUAGAGAUGCGGAGGAACACCGAUGGCGAAGGCAGCCCCCUGGGCCAACACUGACGCUCAGGCACGAAAGCGUGGGGAGCAAACAGG
rnacentral:rRNA from 1 species